CUGAGAGGUGCGUUGUCCUGUGAAGCAGCAACUGUGGUGGCCAGUGGAGCCUGGAGGCCCCCAGGCCUGCCCAGCAGUGCUCUCCUGUGGCCCUCCUCUGCACUGAAAACCUUCCAACUACACCAGCCAGUAACACGUUCUUGAAAUACAACAUGCACUUUCAUGCCUUCAGUCCUUUGUUCACACUGUUCCUUCGGCUUGGAGUGCCUUUUCUCUUUUCUCCACCUGGCUAGGUCCUAUAAUCUCUGAAGUCUUUCCCUUUAUUCAAAAAGUAUUUCUUAAGCUCCAGGCACCUGACACCUGCCUGGGUAAGGACCCCAGUCCAUUACUCUCCAGCCCUGGUGGCCUAACCAGCAGCUUCAGUCUCCCAAACAGUCCCCCAAGGGGACUUAGGGAAGCAGCAGCAGCAGCAGCAGCAGUGGCAGCAGCAGUAGGAGCAGCAGCAGAAGCAGCACUCUGAGACUGAGCUGGGGAUGUUGGUGGGAAGUGGAAGUGGAGGGAGGAUGCCUGGGUUGUGGAUGAUUCCAAAAGGGGCAAGUCCCAGGUAUAGGGGUGGGGAUGCCCAGCUGUCUCUGGGAAGCUGACAACCAGCCUGGAUAAGAUAGCCACAGCUAAGUCUCCUCUCUUACGGAGCUCUCAUAAAAGUGAGGAGUGACAUGGGAUGGAGACUAAAACCAAACAGGUAAAUAAACAAAUGCAUUAGCUUAUUUCAGAGCAUGCAAAUGACAAUGAAAAAAAGAAAAAAAAAAAACAACAACCCAGGAUGUUGUGAUAAAAAGUGACUCAGAGAGGUGGAU